GUACACGACGCUCUUCCGAGCUGGGGGAGGGGUUAAGGAACAGGGAAAUGGGGUGAAGCGGGAGGUAGGUUCUGCUGAAGCCGCUCAUGGGUGCAGGUGAGUAGGCGGUGAGGCCGGGGAGAUGGGGCGAGGGGCACUGGUU